UGCCAGCAGCCGCGGUAAUACGUAGGGUGCAAGCGUUGUCCGGAUUUAUUGGGUUUAAAGGGUGCGCAGGCGGCUUAUUAAGUUAGUGGUGAAAUCACCCGGCUCAACCGGGUACCCGCCAUUGAUACUGGUAAGCUUGAGUAUGUUCGAGGAGAUUGGAACGUGUAGUGUAGGGUGAAAUCCGUAGAUAUUCGGAGGAACACCAGUGGCGAAGGCGGCUUUCUGGACCGAUACUGACGCUGAGACGCGAAAGCGUGGGGAGCAAACAGGAUUAGAUA
rnacentral:rRNA from 1 species